rnacentral:lncRNA from 1 species
CCAUAGGAGUUGUGCCUUUAGGAGUUUUAAGAAGUUAUUUAGGAGUUUUAAGAAGUUAUUUAAGAAGUGACCUCCAGGUCACAAAGAUAUUCUUCUAUGUUGUUUUCUAAUAACUCACAGAGAGGACAGGAGCAUGAGGCUCAGGUUCCUCCCAACAGAAGCCCCACGCUUUAGGAAUUGCAGAUGGACAUGGAGGAUAAAGAGUUUUGUUUUUUCUCCUUCAGAGGACCUCAUAAGCCAAGGGGAAGGCAACUAGGCAGAGAGGGCUUUAAUUAAAUUUUCUAUUUUUUAAUUUUUCUGAACUUCAGGGGUGCUCAUACUUCGCAUGAUGGAGGGAAUAGUUAAUGAGUGCAGGUUUCCCCCAGGAGGGCUGCCACCACAACGGCUUGAGAUGAGGCGGCCAGCAGCCCCCAUCUCUACUCCAGUCUGAUAAGCUGUGGUGUCAGGCACAGAGGCACCUGUGAAGUUGGAAGACAGUGGAAAGGAAGAAGGUGACAGCCUGUGCUGUCAUGAUAAUGUCAUGGUAUGGAGGGCCCUGGCCUCCGUCGUAGGGGGCCCAUGUGAAGGGUUGGCCUCCAUGGCCUGUGAGCAGGAGCCUGGCUCAGGGAACCUGGGGCCUCUAUUCUUGGCUGGGCUUUGCUUCCUGGGGCCAUCCCUUGAACACAUCACUCCUACAUGAUGAUGAAUUCUAGAAAAUUAAAGCAGGGCAGGGGGAGUUUGAAUGUCACCCUUUUUCUUACUGAUGAGGAAACAGACCCAGAAUGAGGAAGCAGCUUACGGAAAAUUGCAUGGUUUGUGGGCUGGAGACCCAGGGCCAGGGCUCCAGCUGCUUCACCUGGAAAAAUCCUGGACUUUGGAGACAGACAGUCCUGGGUUUGAACCUAGCUCUAAGAGCCAUUUAUUAAAUAAUUUCACAAAUAAAGGUGAUGUUUGCCACCAUGGUCAGUGCUUUAAGUGAAUCUACUCAGAGCUGUGAAAUCUUGGGGGAAUUUGACCCAGUCACAGUUGAGAGAAGGUUCUGGAAGGAUAUGGGCUAAGGUCUACAGAUGAAUAAAAGUUAAGCUGGUAGAGAGGGAAGAGCUUGUAGGAUGGACAGAGGGAUGGUUGGAUGAGUGACAUGAGCCUGAGUUUAAGAGGUUGACUAUUUCUUCACCCUGUCCUCUCUCUUAGCCUGUGAAGGCUUGCUGGUAAAUUGCUAAAUCUGGCAGAGAAUGAGGAAAGGAAGAUCUCUUUCCCUGGCUAUCAAUUGUUUGAGUGUUUCACUUAAAGUUGAGCACCUGUUCUAUUGAAGUGCCCACCUCUGUUCCUCUCCAUUUCUUUGAACCCUAUCACUGGUCCUUGGGAAGGGUAAAUGCAAAAGAAAAAAAAAGUGAAAGCAGUGUUAAUCAUGCUGAAAUGUAAUGCGCCCCUCUGAACCUUGGAAGAUGAGAAAUUAUACAUGCUGAUUUCAUCCGCUACUUAACUCAGGGGGUGACAGGCUGCAAUUGAAGAGGCUUUGGCAGGUUAAGUGCUGCAAACCCUUGCCCAGGCUCUUAAGCAUCUCUCGGAAACCUCUGAGACUCGUUGGUAAUUUGGUGGUGUCAUUUGGAGUGACUCCUGGCCCUGCCAGCUGCAGGGACAGUUCCCAGUUAAAAAAAAAAUGAUUUCAUUCUCAGCUAGGAUGUGGUCUGUUCUUUUUUUGUCUGGGGACCGGAGACUGUUAAGGGAAAAGAGAGUGGGGAGGAGAUUCUGCAAAGAAAUAAAAGCAGACAAGAAUGGGCUUGUGUACAUUGCAACCACCAAAGCCCCCUCAACAAAGCUUCAUCAUUACUGGAAUCAGGAAAGAAAAGGGAGAAAACUAACAUUUAUUUGACAUUUACUGUGUACCAAGUACCUGUCAUUCCUGAACGUAUUGACUCCACACAUCUCCGCGAGACAGCUGUUGUUAUGUGGAGAAAUUAGGCUAAUUAAUUUGCCCACUACGAUGAUGACAACAAUGAUGACGAUGGUGAUAAAAGCUUAUAUUUAUAUGGCAGAGACUAUUAUAAACUCCUUAUCUGCAUUAUUCACUCCUCACAAUAACCCUGUGGGGUAGGUGCUGUUAUGAUCCACAUUCUUCAGAUGAGGAAAAUCAGGCCUAGAAAGAUAAAAUAACUUGCCCCUUAGCUGGUAAAUGGCAGGACUGGGGUUCAAAUGUAGGCAGAUUGCCUGCAGAACCUGUGCUUUUAACCACUAGGAUGGAAGUUGGAAAGCAAGACUGACAUAGUCUAAACAUCCUUGCCCUUUCAGCCACACCUGGCUGUCCCAUCUCAUACUGAUAUAAAUAGUAUUACAGUGUAAGCUCCAAAGGGCAGUAGCUGUGGCUGUCAUGUUCAUCAUUGUGUCCUCAGCGCCUGGCCCAGAGCUUGGCAAAAAUGUUUCUGGAAUAGACAAUGGGAUUUAGAGAAGGCUGGUCAGAAGGCAGCAGGGGUCAGCCUCUUGUGGGUAUUUGCCUUCUGUCUCUGGUUUUAUUCUGCUACGUGACUAACCAAAUUGUCCUGACACCAUUUACUGAAUAGUCUAUUCUUUCCUCCUAUUGAUUUGACUGCCACUUCCAGCAUAUUUGAAAUCCCACAGAUACAUAGUCUCUGUAUUUUUUUUUUCUGUUGCGAUAUUUAUUUUCCAUCUAUAACACACAGUUUAAAUAACAUAUCUUGCUAUCUGGAAAAGCAACUGUACUUUCUUUCUUCUUCUUUUCAAAGUAGUCUAUUUGUGCCAUUCAGGGUCUCUGCAGGAAAUAGACAGCACUCUCAAAAGGGGUGACUGAAGAGUUCAAUGAAUGGACUAUUUACAAAGGUGUGGAUAAGGACAGGGACUCAAGAAGCAGUGCUGAAGCCCCCAGAGACUAGCAACACUGGGAGUGUGACAAAACUAAGUCUAAGGGGUGAAGAGAAGAUACACGUAUUAGAACCUAGGAAAACUUGCUCGAUGGAUGAGGAUUCAUUGAAGGGUUUGGAGCUGAUGAUGAAUUUAGUUCAUACUUAAAAAAUAAUUAUCUGACAUUGUGGUAGGGACAUGAACUAGUCCAGCAGAGAACUGUAUUUGAGGCUGGUGAUGGUCAUCAUCCUGACCACUGAUGAGAUCCACCACUGGGUGGCUCACAGUGCUACUGCCUGGGGCUUUUUGUAUCUUUGUGUGACCUCUUUGAGCCUUGACAUCCAUUCUCCCUUGUUAAAUGGCACCAAGUCCUUAUGAGAAUCAAAGAAAUGAAAUAAAAUGCACUUGCAAUAGAGUGCCACUCACCAAAUGUUCAUUUCCCUUGACUUCCUUCAAGAUUCCCUGUAAUGCAUUAAUCAGGACACUGGGUAGGGUUCAUCAGCCAGCUCUGCCUUCCCCGAAGAUCUCCGUGUCCUGUCCUGGAAACAACGUCAACUUAAAAUAACGUUUAUAAUACAAGGAUG